UGGGGAAUUUUGGACAAUGGGCGAAAGCCUGAUCCAGCAAUGCCGCGUGUGUGAAGAAGGCCUUCGGGUUGUAAAGCACUUUUGUCCGGAAAGAAAUCCUUGGCUCUAAUACAGUCGGGGGAUGACGGUACCGGAAGAAUAAGCACCGGCUAACUACGUGCCAGCAGCCGCGGUAAUACGUAGGGUGCAAGCGUUAAUCGGAAUUACUGGGCGUAAAGCGUGCGCAGGCGGUUUGCUAAGACCGAUGUGAAAUCCCCGGGCUCAACCUGGGAACUGCGUUGGUGACUGGCAGGCUAGAGUAUGGCAGAGGGGGGUAGAAUUCCACGUGUAGCAGUGAAAUGCGUAGAGAUGUGGAGGAAUACCGAUGGCGAAGGCAGCCCCCUGGGCCAAUACUGACGCUCAUGCACGAAAGCGUGGGGAGCAAACAGGAUUAGAUACCCUGGUAGUCCACGCCCUAAACGAUGUCAACUAGUUGUUGGGGAUUCAUUUCCUUAGUAACGUAGCUAACGCGUGAAGUUGACCGCCUGGGGAGUACGGUCGCAAGAUUAAAACUCAAAUG
rnacentral:rRNA from 1 species